UGGGGAAUAUUGGACAAUGGGCGCAAGCCUGAUCCAGCAACGCCGCGUGGAGGAUGAAGGUCUUCGGAUCGUAAACUCCUGUCAGGUGGGACGAAGGUUUCAGGGCAAAUAGUCUUGGAAUUUGACGGUACCACCAGAGGAAGCCCCGGCUAACUCCGUGCCAGCAGCCGCGGUAAUACGGAGGGGGCGAGCGUUAUUCGGAAUUAUUGGGCGUAAAGGGCGCGUAGGCGGCCUUGUAAGUCAAAGGUGAAAUCCCUCGGCUCAACUGAGGAACUGCCUUUGAAACUGCAGGGCUUGAGGCCGGGAGGGGGUAGCGGAAUUCCCAAUGUAGCGGUGAAAUGCGUAGAUAUUGGGAGGAACACCAGUGGCGAAGGCGGCUACCUGGACCGGUACUGACGCUGAGGCGCGAAAGCGUGGGUAGCAAACAGGAUUAGAUACCCCCGUAGUCC
rnacentral:rRNA from 1 species